rnacentral:rRNA from 1 species
UGUGAGGUUAAGCGACUAAGAGUACACGGUGGAUGCCCUGGCAGUAAGAGGCGAUGAAGGACGUGCUAAUCGGCGAUAAGCGGCGGUAAGGGGAUAUGAACCGGUAUCAACGGCGAGUUCCGAAAGGGGGAACACAGUGG